rnacentral:rRNA from 1 species
GGCUCAGCGACCGGGUCUUCCUUCACUGGACGCACUCGGGCCGCUUUGCCUUACCUUCUAGGCCCACGCUUUGCGGCGUGCGACUCUAGGACUUUUACUGUGAAUAAAUUAGAGUGUUCAAAGCAGGCAAUCGCUUGAAUACGUUAGCAUGGAAUAAUAGAAUAGGACUUUGGUUUUAUUUUGUUGGUUUUACUCUUGUUGAGACCAAGGUA